rnacentral:rRNA from 1 species
AUACCGGGCCUUUUUGGGCUUGGUAAUUGGAAUGAGGGAGAGUUAAACGGACCAUCGAGUAUCCAUUGGAGGGCAAGUCUGGUGCCAGCAGCUGCGGUAAUACCAGCUCCAAUAGCGUAUAUUAAAGUUGUUGCAGUUAAAAAGCUCGUAGUUGGACUUGUGUGCGCUGUCCGCGGGUGGCCUGCGCCCAAAAGGGCGUUUCGGUUCGGCCCCGGUGGCGCCUUGAAAUCUGCAGCUGGGGGGACGUUGGCCUUAACUGGUCGGCGACCGCACGCCGGCUGCUCGGUUACUGUGAGAAAAUUAGAGUGUUCAAGGCAGGCAUUGGGUGCAAUUGAAUACAUUAGCAUGGAAUAAUAAAAUAUGGCUCCUGCCGUAUUUUGUUGGUUUUGACUGGUGGGAGUAAUGAUUGAUAGGGACGGUUGGGGGUGCUAGUAUUGAGCGGCCAGAGGUGAAAUUCAUGGAUUCGCUCAAGACUAACUUAUGCGAAAGCAUUCACCAAGGACGUCCUCUUUAAUCAAGAACGAAAGUUGGGGGAUCGAAGACGAUCAGAUACCGUCGUAGUCUCAACCAUAAACUAUGUCGACUUGGGAUCGGCGGUAGUUUUUUCAUUAAGACACUGUCGGGACCACGGGAGAAAUCAAAGUGUCUGGACUCUGGGGGAAGUAUGGUCGCAAGGCUGAAACUUGAAGGAAUUGACGGAAGGGCACCACCAGGAGUGGAGCCUGCGGCUUAAUUUGACCCAACACGGGGAAACUUACCAGGUCCAGAGAUGUAGAGGAUUGACAGAUUGAAGCUCUUUCUUGAUCACUUCGGUGGUGGUGCAUGGCCGUUCUUAGUUGGUGGAGUGAUUUGUCUGGUUAAUUCCGUUAACGAAUGAGACCACAGCCUGCUAGUGUAGUCGGCUGGAUUGCCUUUGGCGAUCCGUGAUUUCGACUUCUUAGAGGGACAAUCGACGCGCAGUCGAUGGAAGUUUGAGGCAAUAACAGGUCUGUGAUGCCCUUAGAUGUUCUGGGCCGCACGCGCGCUACACUGCUGGGCUCAGCGAGUUUUACUUGGCCGAGAGGCCCGGUUAAUCUUGUGAAAUCCCAGCGUGCUUGGGCUCGCCUCCUGCAACUGGAGGCGCCAACGAGGAAUUCCUAGUAGACGCAGGUCAUCAACCUGCAUCGAUUACGUCCCUGCCCUUUGUACACACCGCCCGUCGUUCCAUAAGAGUGAGGCAUCCGGUGAAUUCUCGGGAGAGCCUGGGCGUGGCCAGCAAUGGUCUGCUCGGGUUUGAACUUGCAUAAACUUGGUGCCUAUGAUUAGGG